rnacentral:tRNA from 1 species
GCGGCCGUGGUCUAGACAAGAUUGUGUCAAGGCGGUUGAUACAGCUAGAAUGGUCUAGGACAGAGCAAGACGUAAUCGUUAUCGUCCAAAGGCCUCCCAAGCCUCUAACCCGGGUUCAAAUCCCGGCGGCCGCA